AGGUGUCUCCAGGCCGGGUUUCUGGCUUGGUUUGGGAUGUGUGAUGCUGCUAAAUCCAUCAUUUCCUAGCACUGACUGCUUCUCCCCAACCCGUGCAAAGAGGUGUUUUUGUGUCUGACCCUUUUCCUGCAGCACAGAGUGCCCUGGAGCAGGUCACUGCUGAGGGACACAAACCGCGGCACUUCCCGCACACGGGGAACGAGCCUGGCUGUUCCAACAGGGCCUGGAGGAACCAGCACUGGGGUGUGGUGAGGUGAUAAAACUGAGCAUCCCUCCCACCCUGAAGGACAGAGACUUUUUGCCUGCACGAGUGUCAACACAGAGUUCAUUUCAGGCAAACUCAGUGGUGAAGAGAAAGUACCUACCAUCCUUUGUGCUGGCUCAGGCAGUUAGACCAGUGGAUGAGCAGACAAUUCCAGCUGUCCACACCUCCACACACAUCCUGCAAGGAAGGAGCAACCAAACAGACCCUGUCAACAGUCCUGCUUCAAAGAGCGUGCAGGAUCAGCAGUCUGCAGCUUCAGAGACAGACAACAUCUAAAUCCACCAGCAUUCCAGCAGCAUCUCUG